GACGAACGCUGGCGGCGUGCUUAACACAUGCAAGUCGAACGGACAGGCCCUGCUUUUGUGGGGUGCUCGAGUGGCGAACGGGUGAGUAACACGUGAGUAACAUGCCCUUGACUUUGGGAUAACUUCAGGAAACUGGGGCUAAUACCGGAUAGGAGCUCCUGCUGCAUGGUGGGGGUUGGAAAGUUUCGGCGGUUGGGGAUGGACUCGCGGCUUAUCAGCUUGUUGGUGGGGUAGUGGCUUACCAAGGCUUUGACGGGUAGCCGGCCUGAGAGGGUGGCCGGCCACAUUGGGACUGAGAUACGGCCCAGACGCCUACGGGAGGCAGCAGUCGGGAAUAUUGCACAAUGGGCGGAAGCCUGAUGCAGCAACGCCGCGUGCGGGAUGACGGCCUUCGGGUGGUAAACCGCUGUCGCCGGUGACGAAGCGUGAGUGACGGUAAUUGGUAAAGAAGCACCGGCUAACUACGUG
rnacentral:rRNA from 1 species